rnacentral:tRNA from 1 species
AUGUACAAGUGUAAAGUGCACGAGAAGUUUUGAUUUUCUUAGGGCUGGUGUGAUUCCGGUGUUCAUAAG